AUUGAACGCUGGCGGCAUGCCUAACACAUGCAAGUCGAACGGCAGCACGGCAGUAGCAAUACUGUGGGUGGCGAGUGGCGGACGGGUGAGGAAUACGUCGGAAUCUGCCCAGUCGUGGGGGAUAACUAGCCGAAAGGUUAGCUAAUACCGCAUACGACCGAGAGGUGAAAGCGGGGGACCGCAAGGCCUCGCGCGAUUGGAUGAGCCGACGUCGGAUUAGCUAGUUGGUGGGGUAAAGGCCCACCAAGGCGACGAUCCGUAGCUGGUCUGAGAGGAUGAUCAGCCACACUGGAACUGAGACACGGUCCAGACUCCUACGGGAGGCAGCAGUGGGGAAUAUUGGACAAUGGCGCAAGCCUGAUCCAGCAAUGCCGCGUGUGUG
rnacentral:rRNA from 1 species